GGCUCAGGAUGAACGCUGGCGGCGUGCUUAACACAUGCAAGUCGAACGGGAUCCCUGGCGGCCUGGCUGCCGGGGUGAGAGUGGCGAACGGGUGAGUAAUGCGUGACCAACCUGCCCUGUGCACCGGAAUAGCUCCUGGAAACGGGUGGUAAUACCGGAUGCUCCGCCCCACCGCAUGGUGGGGUGGGAAAUGCUUUUUGCGGCAUGGGAUGGGGUCGCGUCCUAUCAGCUUGUUGGCGGGGUGAUGGCCCACCAAGGCGUUGACGGGUAGCCGGCCUGAGAGGGUGACCGGCCACAUUGGGACUGAGAUACGGCCCAGACUCCUACGGGAGGCAGCAGUGGGGAAUAUUGCACAAUGGGCGCAAGCCUGAUGCAGCGACGCCGCGUGCGGGAUGGAGGCCUUCGGGUUGUAAACCGCUUUUGUUCAAGGGCAAGGCACGGCUUCGGGCCGUGUUGAGUGGAUUGUUCGAAUAAGCACCGGCUAACUACGUGCCAGCAGCCGCGGUAAUACGUAGGGUGCGAGCGUUAUCCGGAUUUAUUGGGCGUAAAGGGCUCGUAGGCGGUUCGUCGCGUCCGGUGUGAAAGUCCAUCGCCUAACGGUGGAUCUGC
rnacentral:rRNA from 1 species